UACGUAGACGGUUGGAUAAGUCGGAUGUGAAAGCCCCGGGCUCAACCUGGGAAUGGCAUUCGAGACUGUUCAGCUAGGGUGCGGAAGAGGGAAGCGGAAUUUCCGGUGUAGCGGUGAAAUGCGUAGAUAUCGGAAGGAACACCAGUGGCGAAAGCGGCUUCCUGGUCCAGCACCGACGUUCAGGUACGAAAGCAUGGGGAGCAAACAGGAUUAGAUACCCUGGUAGUCCAUGCCAUAAACGAUGAGGACUAGGCGUUGAGAGGGUAAGCCUCGCAGUGUCGUAGCUAACGCGCUAAGUCCUCCGCCUGGGGAGUACGGCCGCAAGGUUGAA
rnacentral:rRNA from 1 species